CCUUAUUAAACACCUAUUCUCGAAAAUCAACCUCUAACUUCAAGUUUUCACCCAAUUUUCAUCCUAUUAGUCUCAGACAAUCCACACAAAAUUUAGCACACAUGGAAUCCACAUUUAUCUCCAAGUUUUCCUGCAACAGCUUAACCUACCAAACAGCCUAUAUUUGAUUUAAGGGUAUAAUAGUGUUUAAAGGUUGUUUGGGUUUAGCAUCUAAGUUCUCUUAUUCAACCUAUAAAUAUAGAUCAACCUACUCAUGUACAACGCUACAAUCAACCCACGUGCAAAAAUAAUUUUCGUUUCACAGGAAUAAACAAAAAUCUAACUCACACAUAUGACUUAUUCAUAAUCCAUGAACCAAUACAUGUUCUUAAUAUUAUACAUCAUC
rnacentral:lncRNA from 1 species